rnacentral:rRNA from 1 species
UACGAAGGGGGCUAGCGUUGCUCGGAAUCACUGGGCGUAAAGCGCACGUAGGCGGCUUCUUAAGUCAGGGGUGAAAUCCUGGAGCUCAACUCCAGAACUGCCUCUGAUACUGAGGAGCUAGAGUCCGGAAGAGGUGAGUGGAACUGCGAGCGUAGAGGUGAAAUUCGUAGAUAUUCGCAAGAACACCAGUGGCGAAGGCGGCUCACUGGUCCGGUACUGACGCUGAGGUGCGAAAGCGUGG